rnacentral:tRNA from 1 species
GGGCUGGUAAUUCAAUCCGGAAUUGCUAAAAACAAUGGACAAUAGAAUGCGCCCUUGGCUAGGGCGAUGCUCGGGGUUCAAAUCCCCGCCAGUCCA